GUGCCAGCCGCCGCGGUAAUACGGAGGGGGUUAGCGUUGUUCGGAAUUACUGGGCGUAAAGCGCGCGUAGGUGGCUUGAUAAGCCGGUUGUGAAAGCCCCGGGCUCAACCUGGGAACGGCAUCCGGUACUGUCAGGCUAGAGUGCAGGAGAGGAAGGUAGAAUUCCCGGUGUAGCGGUGAAAUGCGUAGAGAUCGGGAGGAAUACCAGUGGCGAAGGCGGCCUUCUGGACUGACACUGACACUGAGGUGCGAAAGCGUGGGUAGCAAACAGGAUUAGAAACCCGGGUAGUCC
rnacentral:rRNA from 1 species